GCCAGCAUAGUUUAGUGGUCUGAGCAUUGGACAAGAGCUCUGAAGACCAGGGUUCAAUUCCCUGCUCAGCCA